UUUGAUCCUGGCUCAGGAUGAACGCUGGCGGUAUGCUUAACACAUGCAAGUCGAACGGUAUCUUCGGAAAUCUGGCUUCAGGUCGGGGACAACAGUUGGAAACGACUGCUAAUACCGGAUGAGCCUGCGGGUAAAAGAUUUAUUGCCUGAAGAAGAGCUCGCGUCUGAUUAGCUAGUUGGUGGGGUAAGGGCUUACCAAGGCGACGAUCAGUAGCUGGUCUGAGAGGAUGAUCAGCCACACUGGGACUGAGACACGGCCCAGACUCCUACGGGAGGCAGCAGUGGGGAAUUUUCCGCAAUGGGCGAAAGCCUGACGGAGCAAUACCGCGUGAGGGAGGAAGGCUCUUGGGUUGUAAACCUCUUUUCUCAGGGAAGAACAAAAUGACGGUACCUGAGGAAUAAGCAUCGGCUAACUCCGUGCCAGCAGCCGCGGUAAUACGGAGGAUGCAAGCGUUAUCCGGAAUGAUUGGGCGUAAAGCGUCCGCAGGUGGCAAUUCAAGUCUGCUGUUAAAGGCCGGGGCUCAACUCCGGAUAGGCGGUGGAAACUGAAUAGCUAGAGUGCGGUAGGGGUAGAGGGAAUUCCCAGUGUAGCGGUGAAAUGCGUAGAGAUUGGGAAGAACACCGGUGGCGAAAGCGCUCUACUGGACCGCAACUGACACUCAGGGACGAAAGCUAGGGGAGCGAAUGGGAUUAGAUACCCCAGUAGUCCUAGCCGUAAACGAUGGAUACUAG
rnacentral:rRNA from 1 species